rnacentral:rRNA from 1 species
GAACAAUCUUUCAACGGCCGCGGUAUCCUAACCGUGCAAAGGUAGCAUAAUCACUUGUCCCUUAAAUAGGGACUAGAAUGAACGGCCAAACGAGGGCCUAACUGUCUCCUAUAGCCCACCAAUAAACCUGAUCUCUCCGUACAAAAGCUGAGAUAAACACAUUAGACAAGAAGACCCUGUGGAGCUUUAAGCCUUAACACUAACACCUCCACCAUUAGUAUGCGCUUUUAGUUGGGGCGACUAUGGAGCAAAACAAAACCUCCACGAAAUAACCUUAAUAUAGACCCACACGUCUAAGCCAAACCAACGACCCAGUCCAACUGACCAUCGAACCAAGUUACCCCAGGGAUAACAGCGCCAUCCUCCCCAAGAGUCCAUAUCGCCAGGAGGGCUUACGACCUCGAUGUUGGAUCAGGACACCCAGGUGGUGCAGCCGCUACCAAAGG